UAGAAAUUUUCUUUUUAUUUCUUUCUCUAUAUUAUUAUUAUUUUUUCUUUCUCUUUCCUUUUUUCCAUCUCCCCAGCAGGUAUAACUAUAGAGAAUGUUGAGUAGAGUUGUUUGGCUUUGCUUCUAUAGCUGUAUGCACUUCUGAUGGCAACUUUUAUACUGGGCUGUGCGCUUCAAACUCUAAGCCUGUAGAUGGCACUUAUAGGUAUGAGCUGGUUGCAGCCAAUUUGGGGAUAUACUUGACCUUUGUUUACUGGGAGAAGCUCCCUGUUGCUUCAGGUAAAUGGGCUGAUCCAUGGAGUGCACAGUGGUCUGAGCUUCCUGUUUAGCCCCUGGUGAGUGGGGGACAUGAUGGAUGGAGCUGGACCAGGCGAGUCUGCCUACAGGCUCCAGGGACAAGCACAAGUGCUGAGGGAGAAUCCAGUGAGCAGCCAUCAAGUACCUAGAGGUGCACCUAGGCAUGGAGCUGGGAAACCUCUUUAGCCCCAAGUUCACUGCACAGGGAUGGGGGAUGGCCUAAACUCCUUAUCCAGGAGAGGGGGCACUCCAGGUGCCUGGAGAUCUGCCUGGGUGUGGAGUGAAGAGGUCCCUGCUUCACCAGGAUCUCUAUAUAGGAAGAAUGGCAUAGGUCAGAAUGCCAAUCCAGGUGAGUGGGUACUUUGAAUACCUGGAGAUCUGCCUAUUGUGGAGCAGAGAAAGCCCCGUUUCACCACAAUCUAUACUCAGGAAGGUUGAGGUGGCUCAAGCUGCUGAACUAAGCAAAUGGGUCCUCCAAAUGCCUGGAGAUCUGCCUGGGCAUGGAGCAGAAAAGGCCCCACUAUAUCUUGAUCUAUGUCUAUGAAGGGUGGGGCAGCUCAGGCUGCUGGUCCAGGCAAACAGGUACUCCAAAUGCCUGGAUUUCUGCCUGUGGCUAGAGUGGAUAGGGCCCCACUGCACCAUGAUCUCAGGGGAACAGGAUGGAGCACCCAGAAAUGGCGUGCACAGACUGGUUCCAAGUCACUAAGCUGACCCUGGCUGCAAGUCUUGCUGCUCAGGAGAAACUGCAGUGGUAGCAGCUCCCAUCCCAUCCUAGUCUUGCAAUGGGGAAUAACAAAAUUCCAGUGCCUACUGCUGAGGUACUUUUCAUAGUUCUAGCUCUGGAGACCCCUAUGCCACUCUAGAGCAGGCACUCCAGUCUCUGACCUGAGACUAAAAUGCCUGCAUGGCUACACUGCCAGGUUGCUAAAGAAUGGCUGACUUUAUGUCCCUGGGUUAAAACACAUCCUGCUUUUGGUCCCAGGUCUGGGAAAAUGCCUGUAGUGUUCCCCAGUGUCUUUUUUCUCAUAGCAUCUCCAAGCUCCUCCCCAGGUUGGCUGCAAGGCUUAGGAUAAACAAGGUGUCCUCCCUUGGCCUGGGUUGCUCGGAUCCCCAGUGGAAAGGUAAGUAACAGAGGGAGGCUGUCUGCCUGUCUCACAUACUGGGGUUUCACUCACUUUUCUCAGCCAGAUGCUUUCAUGGGGUCCGUUUGCCCACAUUUUCCUCUCUGGGAUCUGAGGUGUCCUUCAUGAUUCUGGUGAAUCCCCAUUUUCCUUCUUGAAUUAAUGCCACAGAGUUGAUCUUUAUGCACUAUCUUGCUAUUUCCAAGUGACUGAGGCAUGCUAAAAGGGUGUAAUCCACCAUCUUGUGAAAAAAAGCGUGGUAAUCUUAUUGUGGGUCUUGGGUGAAGAAUUGUUUUUUUCUUGCUACAUUUAGAGUUUUCUCUUUAUCCUUUGUUUGAUUUUGAUGUGCCUAGGUGUGGAUCUGUUUCAGUUUAUCCUACUUAGAGAUUGUUGAGCUUCUUGGAUGUUGAGCUUCUUGGACAUGAAGAUUAAUGUUUUUCAUCAAAUGUAAGUUUUCAGUCAUUAUUCACAUUUUUUUCUGCUCCUUUGCCUUUUUUCUCUAAGUAUGUCACCUUUGUGUAGCAGAAAAAGAAAAGGCAUACAUGACUGGAUUAGGGGCCUCAUCACAUGUCAGGGGCCAGCUCUGCAAGUCUUGUACUUUGGAAAAAGAACCAACUAGCCUGUUCAGCGAUACAAAUGUCAGAAAGUUGAGAAUGCCUGGAUUUCAAAUAUCCUAAUAGACUAUAGAGGAGAUAUGUUUGGUGAAGGAAAUCCUUUCCGGAAUCCUCCAAGUCAUAAUGUAAAUGGUUGCCUACUAAUUCUCAGCCCUUAAAUCUAGUCCUAGUAAGCCCUGAUAAACUGACUCAUACAAGAUGGGAAUGCCUACCAUGAAAUGCUGAGAUGGGAUAUGACAGUGACAACAAAGGCUGCUGCUGUAAUGUGAUCUCUCCAGAUGGGUUCUUUCAUCUUAGGUAAAAAGGUAUUGGUUUUGAAAAUGCUCCCAAGGAAAGCUGCAUACAAAUAUCCAUCUCAGAGUCUAAUUCCAAGGAACCCAGUCCAGAUGGCUGCCUUCCAGAGUCUGGGUUCUCUGCCACUGUUUGAUAUUGGUCAGUCCCUGGACUGUGAGCUCCCUGAGGACACACAGUGCUACAUCAAGUUACUUGGAGCCCUAGGACAACUUCCAUCUCAAGUGAUCCUCUUCCAUAUCAGGGAAUCAUCAAAUGCUUGCUGAAUAAAUUGCCACCCUCUUUGGACUUUGAAAAACGAAAUCUUAUUGUGAAUAUGGUUACAUUAUGAGGUGCUGUGAAUUAAGUCUUCAACACAUGAAUUUUUGGGGAACACAAUUCAGCCUGCAACAACCCUCAUCUGGAGAAUACCCUAAAUGGACUUCAACAGUCCAGAGUAUCUUGUCCUCUUAGGAGAAAACAUGUUGGAAUGAGAAUGAGAAGGACAGGGGAAACUAAUAUUUGUUGCUGAUGAGAUUUCCUGUCUACUCACCGUGUGCAAGGGCCUAUUCGAAGUUCAACCUCAAAAUGAAAUACAGGAAGAUAAAGGAACUUAGAAUAUAUGGCUAAUGAGUGGUAGAGCUAGGAUUUUAGGUUUAGAACCUGCAUAGAGUGUGCCUCCACCCCCAUCUCAGUUAAUUGUCACGAAUGCCUUGUGAGGGCUUAUAUCCAGUUUUUCGUUUUAACUGAUAACAAAUGAGCAAGCAUUUAUACAUAGCACUUUACAUAACAGGUACCCUCUUAGGGAUUUUACAUAUGUUAACUCAUUUACUCCUCAUGAUCCUGCCAUGAGGCAGAUACUGUUGUUCUUAUCACCCCAUUGAGAGGUUACCAGCAAGGAGGUGGCAGAGGGGGAGUCAAGCCUGGGGAAGUCUGGUUUACAGAGUCCAGACCCUCAGCCACCAUACUGACCUUCCUCUUGGGAAGCGGGGUAAGUAAUCUGGCCAAGGGCAAUGUCACUUUGAAAGGGCGAGACUGGGAUUUGUACCUGGCCCCUCUGACUGCAGACUCCAGCCUCCCUUGAUGGCUUCACACCACUGUAUCUGCCUGCAUGUGAUCAUGUUUCAUCCUCUCAUCACAUACUUGGUGAUGCAAACAAGUCUCCUAGCUCUGAUUUUAAGAAAAAAGACUCUGAUGCUGAAGAAAAAAGGUUUGGGAGAAAUUUGCCUUUGUGCAAUGUUAUUGGAUAAACUCUGUUUUUCCUUAGACUCAUUAGCUGCAUGUUUACAAUUUCCAAACACAAUUGUCUUAAAAAAAAUCAGACUGGUUAAAUUUGGAAGGAGGUGGGUGUCUUCAGCAGGCUAGCAGUUGUGUGCAGAUUGACAUUUUUAUAUUUAUAAAAGUUGUGUCUGCCACCAGGCCUCUAGGAACAUUUGCACAUUUAAAAAUAUAAAUUAGAAAAAUAUGUUGACAUAAUUGUCUGCCCUAAGGAAUUUUUCCUUCAUCACAGUCUUAAUGGAAAAAAUUCUCACUUGGCUCUCCCUCCCCAGGCAGAAGUUGGAGUGUGCAGAUGAGACUUUCCAUAUGCUUAGAAGUUAGCAAGAAAUGCUUUGCAUCAACACGAAGUCAUUUCAGAUGAGAGUUCCCCAUAGGCAGUGACUCUGUCCUUCCUUCUCCUGCUGUUCUCUCAUCUCACAGUAUCCUACUUUCCCCACCUGCAGGUGUCUAUGGCUUUGCCUUGGCAUCCCCUUCUUAAACGUCUUCAAUGGCUCUUUGACCCCUAAGGCUAUGACUGGCCUAAUUUAAGACCCCUUGAGGAUCUGGAUCCUGCGAACUCCCUGGCUUCCUGCCUUUCCUUUCUCCUCCUCAUAUAUCCCAUGUGCCCACCACGUUUGUUCCCCUCUGCUCCUGAGCACUGUUGACCUCCUGCUGGUGCCUGGGAUCUGCCCUGCCCCAGCCUCUGUUCCCAUGCUGGCCAUUCCAUGAAGACUUGAUGGAGCUCCCAGUCAGAAGUGACCUUUCUCGCUUCAAAAAGCCAGUAAUGCUUUAUCUGUGCCUUUGGGACCCUGCAUUACAAAGUCCUCAAUGUUAUUUUUGCACAUUUUUUGACUUCUAACAUCUCAAAAUCCCAAGGAAGACAAAGGGUCUGAAAAGAAAAUAGCCAGUGUGUCCCAAGUAGGCACUCAACAAAUGAUGGUUGUCCCUCUUUUUUUACUUGGAAAAUUUUAUCCACAUUGCUUGGUUCAUAGUUGAUGCUUAAUAAAUAUUUGUUAAAUGAAAAGGUACAUUGAGACAGAACUUAGAAACUUAGAAAAAUGAAAAUUUUUUAAUUGGGAUAAAAUAUA